UAAAGCCAGCCGAGUUAGACUUGUUGCAAACGUCGGAGGCUAAAGUCAAGCACUA
rfam:Polerovirus watermelon/8-1/Syria/2009 RdRp protein (RdRp), major coat protein (CP), and putative movement protein (MP) genes, partial cds